rnacentral:rRNA from 1 species
GACGAACGCUGGCGGCGUGCUUAACACAUGCAAGUCGAACGGAAAGGCCCUGCUUUUGUGGGGUGCUCGAGUGGCGAACGGGUGAGUAACACGUGAGUAACCUGCCCUUGACUUUGGGAUAACUUCAGGAAACUGGGGCUAAUACCGGAUAGGAGCUCCUGCUGCAUGGUGGGGGUUGGAAAGUUUCGGCGGUUGGGGAUGGACUCGCGGCUUAUCAGCUUGUUGGUGGGGUAGUGGCUUACCAAGGCUUUGGCGGGUAGCCGGCCUGAGUGGGUGACCGGCCCGCAUGGGUACUAAGAGCGGGCGCAGUGCCGAGCGGGGUGAACAGGGGGGAAUUAUGGCGCAGGGGGGGAAGGAGGAUGGCGACAACCCUGGGUGUGGGUGAGGGGCUGGGGGUUUUAAAACGGGUUCCCCCUUAGAGAAGGGUGAGGUGGCGGUGGGGGGUAAAAAGGCCCCGGCUAGCUAGAAA